AGUUUUAUUUCUAGAGAAAGCUCUCCCCCAGCAUGGUGCAUUGAAAGGGAAUUAAAUCAGAAGACUAACAGCUGACUUCUCCAUGUCGGUACUGACUGGGUUCUUUCUGGAAAGAAGAUUACACCCUGACGAUUACAGCCUAUGAGCACACCACCUAUAAAAUACCCCAGGACAAAAAUCUGUCUAGUGACUCUUCCUUCCACGUGUGACCCUACCUCCCUUCGCACAUGCUUUAUUUCAAUUAACAUUUCACAAUCCCUCUGUCCUCAUUUUUUCCAAACUAUCCAAGCACGGACUCUCUCUUAUCUUAGUAGCUCAGAGAGCACCAGAGGCC
rnacentral:lncRNA from 1 species